GAGAGGCUCACCAGCCGCAAACUUUCGACAAGUCAAUCUACUUCUUAACGAGAAUCUUGGAUUGUGUCUUGGAAUACUUAAAUAUAAGGGGUUAAUACAGAUGUACUAGUAUGCAUAUCCAAUUUCAUACCCUAUUUUUACUUGAAGGUCUAAACUAGCACGACGUUAUGGACUCUAAAAUAAUUUAAACUUAUGUACAGAGUCGCCAUCUAAUUUUAAAGAAAAAUAAGGAAACCUAUUGAAUUAUUAACAUGUAUAAUCAAUGUUUCAAUCUGUGAAAAACCAAUUGAGAUUUUAGGUAAGGGUUUAAAUUAUCUCAAAGGGAAGGGAUUAGGAACCCUUCGAGAUCCACAAUUGUGGUACCCGGCUAGACUAAAUUUAUCAAAGAAAGAGGAGGUAUAUUUAAAAUAUAUAUAAAAAUUUGUAUGUAUAUUAAGUAUAAAAUAAUUUCAUUGAAAAAUAUAAAUGUUUUUAGACUAUGUAAAGGCAUAUGUAUAUUAACUGUAUAAAUGAGAUGUAGUUAUAAAAUAUAUAAAUGUGCAUAUGAAAAGGAAGAGCUUUUUAUGAUGCAUGAAAAAAAAUGUAUUUUUUAUGGCAUGAAAAGUGAUGUAUUUACAAGCAAUAUUUUUAUUUGAUUAAAAUUAGAAAGAAAAGUAAAAUUUAUUUGAGAGAACAAUACGUGAAUUACUUAAUUAACUUGAUUCUUCUAUUAAGUAUAGUAAAAUAAUAUAUAUGUUUUAUUGUAAAAAAAAUUUAUAUUAGUAUAUGUAUGUAAAAAAUAAACUAAAUCGAAAUAAGAAAAUUUAAAAAAAAAAAAAGAAGACAAUGUAAUAUGCGAAUAUGUAAAUUAGUUGAUUAACUUAAUUGUUUUAUAUAAAUAUUAAUGGCCUAAGUCUUGCAUAAAAGCGAUGAAAAUAUGUAAAUGAAGGAUAUCCUCGCCCGAUACCCAAAAAGGAAAGUUUUUAGUAUUUUUGUUAUUUGUACAAAUGUGAGAAUAUAAAAUACAAUAUAAAAUUUAAGGACUCCUUUGACUGCAACUGCUGACGAGUAUUCCAAAAUAACCUGUAUAAAAACUUGUAAAAAAAUGUUAAUAAUAAGUAAAAAAUAAUAAAAAUAAAUUGAACAAAUAUAUCUGCAUAUGAGUAUUUAAAAAUAUAUUUUUUUGUUUAAAAGUGGACUCAGAUAAAUUCAUGACUAUGAAAUAGUUGCUAAAUUAAUUGGUCAUCCUAAAUCGUAUUAUUACGAAGUGGUUGCUUAAUUAUUGGCCGUCCUAAAUCGUCUAGCCAAAAUAUAAAUUGUAAAAUCUUAUGUUGUUAUAAAGUUUCAUCAUUGUCCAAAAUAUUUAUUUAUUAACAUAUUUGUAUACAUAAAAUCCAUCUUUUGUUUACGAACACCUCAACAUUAAUAAGAAUUUUUUCAUUGACAAAUAUCUUGUUCUUUAUCAGUCAAAUAAAUUGUAACUAACAAAAUUUAUCCAAAAUCAAUGUCUGAUAUUUUAAUAGCAGCAGACCCAGUGACAAAAUAAUAGAAACGGAGCAAACUAACAGUAAUAGCAAAAAGUAAGGAAACAUCAGCAAAAUAAAAGAAAACCCAUGGUCAAAAGUCUGGCUAGAUCUAAACAAAUUAGACAAAACAAGAAUAAUAAGAAUAUUAUCAAGCAUUAAAUAAAUAAAAGCACCAACCAAUACCGCUGCUUCGACCAUGAUGAAACGCCGGAGCAGUUGGUGGCAAAUAUACGAGCGCAAGGAGGUAUCGCCGGAGCUACUCUCGGAGGAGAAAGAACAGCGCAAUGAAGGAGAAGGGGGAGGUUGCCGUGUGAUCGAGACGAAGGGAGGCGGCAUCUGAUAGAGGCUCGCCGGUCCGACGGCCGUCGUUGGCUGCUGCUGUUGCUGGCUUGUGGUUGGUGGUUGCCGGUGUUGUGGGUUGGUGGGUGGCUACUGAAAGAUUAGAAGGAAGGGCGUGAAGGUGGUUUUAUCUUGAUUGGCAGUGGAUGUCACCGGAGUUCAGCCGUGCUCACCGGAGGAACGAGUAAAGAGGGUGGGUGUGUUCGGAGAAAGUUCUGAUUUUGUGUGUUCUAUCAGUGUGUGUACUGUGCCUUGUUGUAUAUAAGAAAAAGGAUCUCAUAUAUAGUGUAUUGUGAUUUGUGUGUAAUGUAUCCGUUUGAAAUGAAACGUUGCAAAAGUUGACAAUGCCCAAGAUUUUCUUUGAUUCAUUUUUGACUUGUGUAGCAUAAAUCAAAUUAAACAUUACUUUCUUUGUCUUGAGAUGACAUAAAGAAAAGCAAAAUUUGCCUUUUGUCUCAACAAUGUUUGAAAGAAAACACAUUCUAAAACAAACAACGAAUCUUUUAAGCAAUUUAAAGUAACUCACAUUAUUACUAGUCAAAUCUAUAUUCCUACCAAUUUAUGCAAUUACGGAGAAAGCCUGCAACUUUUUUUCUCUUAAUAAUUCGAUCUUUAAUUGAUUUUUUGAGCUUCAAAUUUAAUAACUAGCUUAAUAUACUUUAAAUAAUGAUAUUUAAGAAUUACGAAAAUUUAAUGUAUUCAUGACGACUUUUCUAAAUAUCAGACUAAAAAAAUAAAAUAACAACGAUCGAUUUUAAAGAAAUAAAAAUAAAACAAGAGCAGUAUUAUUGAUAACACAUUAGUAUUUUUGAAUUAGUAAUAAUAGUAUUACAUAAAUAAGAAUGGUAAAAAAAAUAGUAAUAAAUUAAAUAGUGAUGAAAUAUAAUAAUAUUUAACUUAUUAUUAAGUUAGAAGCUCAAGAAAAUGAAUUAAUAGAAAUGAAGAAUAAAACUGGAUAUCAACAUACUAUUUGUGUUAAUGUACAAGACAACAAAUUAUUAUUGUACUUUCAUUGAAAUAAUUGAUUCGACUCAGUUUUUUGCAGAUUGUAAAAUGUAGAAAUUGAUUUGUAAUUAUAUAAAAAAUGUAAAGAAUGUUGAAAAUAUUAAAAAAUGUAAUUAAUUUGAAAAAUGUUAUAAAAAUGUGAUGGCUUGCAUGUGUGCAAAUGUUUGUAAAAUUAUAAAUUGAUAAUUAUAAAAAAAAUUAUUAAUAAAUUAUAAAGAGUAAAAAUAAAUUGAUAAAAUCCUAAAGUAAGGAUGAACAUCAAUAAUUUAUUAUCAGUUGUAAACAAUAUGUGAAAAAUUGUAUUUUGUGCCCUUUAACGGUCAGAAAGCCUGAAUAUGUUAAUUUUAAGCACGAAAAACAAAAAUUGGGUGUCAACAUCCAAAAUAAUGUAUUCUUAUAUAUAACAUAAGUAAGAGCAAUUUAUGAAGCAUUUUACAUAUGAUAUAUGAAAACACAUGGGUAUUCUUUAAAGACGUGGAAACAUUUCUUUGAAUCCAUGACCCACUCUUUAUUUUACUUCUAAGCUAGAUGGUACACCCUACAAUCUAUAACUCCAUGAGCUAUAUGGAUCCGCCCUUGACUCGGCGGUCAAGCCCCCAAUCCAAGUUUGUCGCAAAGAUUGGGGUGUCAGUGAGGGGGACAUGCAAGAUCAAAAAGCAGGGUGUCAUAAUUCCCAAUCAAGUCAACAUGUCAUGAUAGUUCACAAGAUCACAAAGCAGAGCUCCUAACAAUAGUAUCAAAUUUGGACGACAAGAACCAAAGGUACACAAGAUCACAAAGUAGGAUACUAUAAUCCCAUGUCUGCAAAUCAUGAUUUCUAGCAUUGAGCCUUUCAACUCAUGCUAUCAUUGGGUAGGAAUGUAACUCUAUUUAACCCCAGUUUUAUCCUCCUAAAAAAAUAAUUCAUUCUUAAUAACAAAUCUUUCUCAUUUUUUAUGGGCACAUCACAACAGGGUAUCGUACCCAGACUUGCAAGUCAUUCAUAUCAUAUCAAUUCUACGGCCCUUCUUAUUCAAACAUGUACAAUUACCACCAGAAGGUUCAUCCAGUCACACCAUAGUUCUCAUUAUUAAAAUCACAUGAAACUUAUUCAAGCCCACUCUUUUUACGAGUUUUGAAAAUAUAGUGGCCAUUCUAUUUAUUCUGUUCAUGCAUAAUGAUUAAGGAGACAUUUCAAACUCAAGAGUUUCUCAUCAUUCACAAACAAGCCCCUGAUAUUGGUUAUACAUAAAUUUCAUGGUUAAAAGAUGGGCUCUUAAUUCAUGCGCUCAAAAACUAAUUCACAAUUUAUAUCAUGCAAGGUUCAUAAAUUUCGUCAUGGAGAGUGAAAUCUCACAAGUUAUAUUCAUGAAUUAUCUUUUGGAUUCAAAUCACAUAAGCAGAGAUUUAUAAAUCAAACUUACAGAAAACCCCAUAAUAAUUUCAUAAUUCCAUCAAAUUGAUGUCAUAAUGCAUGCUAUUAAAAUAAUUUACCAAAAUCACUUUUUAUAUACAUACAUAAAUAUCUUCAAAGCUUAUAAAAAUCAUAAAACUCAUGCCCAUGAGAUUUAGGAUAGCCCCACAUACAUUAGUUUUGAAGAAAUCAUGAAGAAAUUUUGAAAAGAUUUGACCUCUAAGCUCGAUUGCCCAAACCUUAGUUGUUUUCCAAGAGAUCAUGUAGAUAGAAUCAGGAGAGUGUGUGUUGGACCCAAUCCUCAGUGUAUGCAAGUGAAGUGCAAAGUAGCCCCGAAUUAUACACUAAAACCCAUCCAAACACCAAGCUUAUUCUACACUUGAUAGGCUAACUUAAUGGAGGGAUACUUUGUCUUUUUAAUGUCUAUUAUGCAUUACACUAUAAAAGGACAUGUUAAGGUUUAUUUAGGGAGUUUUUGCAGACUAAAAAUUGUAUUACACACUUAAAACUAGAGAAUUCCUCUCAUCCUUAGAGUCUUGGCCGAAACAAGGUUAGUAACAUAAGAGUGGGUUCACUUUGUUGCUUGUUUUCUUGGAACCUUGGGUGCUUGAAGGCUUGAGGUCCUCUCUUGUGUCCUUUGCAUAGUUUAGGGUUUACUACUAUCAUUAUUAAGGGUCUUAGUGUUCAACAAACACUUAGGUUCUUAGUCAUUAUUGUAGUGUAUGCACACUCCCUAUCUUUCUAUUCUUGUAAUUUUGUAGUAGCAUGUAUUUUGUAUGUAGAUUGUGUGUUGUUUCUUGUUAUCACUAUAAUGCCCCGUAAAAGGUCAUUCAUGUGAUAUCUUCUAGUAAUGUGCUCUUAGCCUUGGAAACUUGAAAAUAUUCUAAGUUCCAAAGAGACUUGGUCUCAUUUUUAACUCUUAAUCUUUGGGGAUUUUAUUUUAAACCUUUCCGACCUCCGAUUUGAGAUUUUCUUGUUGCGUUGAGAUGGGUCAAGGUCAUAGUACAUAUCGGGUAAGUUUUGGAAUUUUUAGACGAGCCUAAGGUUGUGUUUGAGUUGGCUAAAAAGUAGUUAAAGGCGCUAGGCCCGCGCCGCCUGGGGUUCACCCCUGCUCUAAGCGGGGCGCCUCCCCACUCUCUCCUCCAGUGAAAGCAGGGCACUGCCCUGGCUUCUCCUAGGGUCUAACAGGGCGUCGCCUUGCAUAUCAUGCCCAGCCAAAUUUAGCAUCCUAUUUUCAUCUCAUUAAGGGCAUUAUGGUAUUUUCCCCAACCCUUAUCAGCUUAAACACGAGAUUAUACUUCUAAUUGAGCACAAUAUUGAUAUUUUUACCAAAAAUCCUCAAGAACACUCUCUAGGGUUUCAAACUAAAAACCCGGAUUUCUCAAGAUUCAACCGUUAGUUUUGGAAAUUUACUGGAGAAUUAGAAUCCCCAGACCGCAAGCAUCGAGUAGUAUCCAUUGUUUUCCCAAUUUGAGGUAUGCAUGGUUUUCCUAAAUUCUCAUAGGCAUAGGAAUCAUGAUUUUAUAAAAAGGGAUUUUGAAUUGUGAAUAUAUUCAUGUUUUAAAAGCAUUGAUGAUAUUGUUUUGGCCUUUCGGCUUUCCCUCAAAGUGAUUUGAAAUCUUAUAUGUAUGUGUGUAUGUGUUUUGAAUUGAUAGUUGAAUUGAGAGCUCGAAUAAUCAAGAAUCCCUCUCUAUUUAUGAUGUUUUCCAUUUUUCAUAUGAUAUGGAUUGUUUUUGAAAUACAUAUUGAAUAACAUGAUUCGAAAGGUUUUGAUAAUAAAGGAACUCAAAUUAUUGAGAACUUCAAGCGACAAAGCCUCUUUCCUUUCCUUCCUUGAAAUGACUCCGCCGAUCAAAUCAAGUACCAAAGGAAACCCAUCACACUUUUUGGCUAUUUUCUCUCCAACAUCCUUUAGUUCAUCAGUGCAAUGUUCUUCUCUGAAUACCGUUUUCUCUAACAACUCCCAGCUUUCUCCUGGUCGUAGCAAUCAAAGAUCAAGAGGAUACCUGUGACAUUUUCCAUGCAAAGCCACUUCCUUUUUUAGACUUGUUAAAAUAACUCUGCUCCCUUUCUGAAAUUCAGUUGGAAAAGGUCUUGUCAGCUCAUCCCAUGUUGCAGUAUCCCACAAGUCAUCCAAGACAAUAAGGUACCUCUUUCCGAACAGUUGUCUCCGUAGCUUAUCAGCAACGUCAUCGUCUAUGUCAUCCUCACUGACUCUUUCUUUCAAACCAAUAACUUCAUUGAAAAUUUUUUAUACACUUUGUAAGCCAAAGUAGUUUUUCCAAGCCCUGAUAUGCCGACUAUGGGAAUGACAUCUACCUCAGCUGGUCCACUGGAGAGCUUCCUGAUAAUCCACUCUGUCUCCUCCUCAAAACCUACAAUUAUUUUACCAGUUAUUGAUGGCUUAUUUUCAACUGGCUUGUUGGGAGAGUUUGCAAAAAUGAUACUCGUGUUCUUGGAGAUCCUCUUGUACCUCUUUUUUGACAAGCUUGAUCUUUUCUACGGUAUCAGGAAGUAAGACGAUAAGCUGCAAGAGACCACGAUCUCUGGCAAGAAUUGAGUUAAUGGCAUGUUCCGCCUCAUAUGCCACAUCUAGAACACGAGUCCAAAGAUCUCUAUGCAAUUCUUGCUCCACAGUCCCAAAGAACGAUCUUAUGUGUUCUAGGUCUUCUUUCACCCGACUGAUUUCUUCUUUUAUUAAAGCAACUGAAUAAGCAUUGGAAUUGAGCAAGUCAUUUAAGUUUCUGAGUAGGAAAGUCAUGAAGAGUGGUCCAUCACUCAUGUGGAAGCAGAGCUGUGAUGAGUCUGCAGGGGCUUUCAAGAAAACAUUCUUGAGAUCUUCCUUCAGGACGUCAAUAACUUUCAGCAAGUUUAGACUUGCACCGCUUGCUUCCUUCAUAUUCUCUUCAUUCCUUGAGUUCUCUUCUAAGUUGCGAACAAGAACGAAUACCUCCUUGGUAAGUGCUCCAACACGUUCCAAGAGAACAAACAAUUUUUCAUGACGAAUAACGUCCUUGGACACAUCAGUAAAAAUAAUCAAUAGGAACUCUAUCAUGACAUGAAUAUUUAGAGCUGAGGUGCUAGGAGUAAUAGCAUUAACCAUGUGCUGUUGUAGAUGAAUCAGAUAUUCUCUAAGAAUGUCUGGAGAGCCUUCUAGGAGCUUCUUAAUGAAGCGUCCAACUUCAGCUGACUUUGAAGCUUUCAAAUUUGUAGAACAAAUGUACAUAACUUCCAGUGAAACUGGAAUUAUCUUCAAAAGUAGAUGGACUAGCAUGGAAUUGACGAGAGAGACUUCAAUGAUCUGUUUCAUCUGCUUGGGUCAUUUGUCUUAUGCUCAAUACAUUCUGAAGAAGCUCAUAUUGAGUCAUUGGUGGGAAAAUCAACUCAGCACAAAGCUUGGGUAGAUAAUGGAGAUUCACAAGGAUCCCGUCCAAAAGUUCAACCAACUGAUCCUCAGUAAUGGCCGCACUUGAUUCAGAAUGAUGAUUUGAGAUGAUAGAACUUUUGAUAUUUUCAAGAAGGCGAGGAACGACAUGAUCCUUUAACUUAACCAGCAUGUCAUCUCCACUCUGAUGAAAAAGUGACAGAACCAGAUCAUGAACCUCAUAUGAUAUGCAAGACAUUUCGGCAUCAGAACCAACCGAAAUGUAAUAACAAAGCUGCAAACUCGCCGACAAAAAUGUCAGCUCCAGUUUCAGCUUUUCAAUUUGAUCCAUAUCAAGAACAAUUUGAUCCUCUUCAGUCUUUAACCUCUCUUUGAAAUCAUGAAGAUUGACAAUGUCUUCGUGAAACACAGCAGAUGAUACCUGCUAAAAGACCAAAUGUGCAUCAAAAUUUUCAGCUCACAUAUUCGCCAUUACAAAUUUUACUCUAACUUAAUGGGGCAACUAACGUAAAUAUAGAGGUUCUUCUUCAAAAUAACCUACUGCAUAAGCUAAAUGUUUGUCCUAUAGUUACAUUUUAUAUGAUAAACAAGAGUUAGAUUUCUCAGAAGGUGACUCAACUAAUGAAAAUUGUCCGAGAAAGUCACUAGUCUUUGUUUUGUAGUAGAAAAACCACUCUAAUUUUACCAUUUCACCUACAAAGUCACUCUACACAUUCAGGUGGUAUUCAACUGGUUUUAGAUUAUGUGUCAGCCUUUUAUAAAAUAAAAACUGUCAUUAAAAGUAUUUUACUGACCCACUCCAUGACGCGACCAGCUAACCAAUUUGCACUUUAGUUACUUGGAUUGCCUAGGUCCCUUAACUGCUACUGUUAAUUUCUCCAAGUGGAAGUUUAGCUCAACAACUUUGCCACUCAGUUAGGCAUCGAAUUUUGGGGGUGAAUGUGUCUAGUGCAGGUACAUUAUCAAUAGACCACUCUAAAGGGGAAGUCAUCCUAUGGAUGUCAAGAACCGUCGUGUGAUCAAUGGCACCCCAAAUUUUGUUUUGGUUCAAAAAUUGAAUUACAAAAUUGACAAAACUCAUAAAGCAAGCAUGUCAAUAAAGAAUUUCUACUGAUCCGUCCGUUCACAUAUAUACUAGUUUGUUACUCGGUGCACUGAAGAAGUAUAUUAACUAGUACAGAUGAUUUUAUACCAAAUCGAAGAAAAAGAAUACAUAUAUUGAACAUAGUCAUUUGAUUUUCAACACUGUUUGGGGUUCUUAUCGUCUUUGGGGUUGAGUUAGGCCAAGUGCCAAAUCGUUACAAGCAUUAUUUUGCACAUCAAACCCAACCAUAAAAAGGACACGUUACCCAAAUUGAAUCCCAGCGCUUAAAACAACUUAUUCCACAGGAAAACAAAAUCAUUUUUCUUAUAUACAAACUACAUGAAAUUUUUUUAAAAAAAGAUGAUUAACAUGUUUAAGUCGAUUAAGCUCCAAAAAAAAAAAAAACAAGCAUACUUACAAGACUUAAUUAUGUCUUAAUGAAAAAAAAAUAUAAACAAAUAUUGUAUAACAAUACCGAUGAGCUGUUUGCUUCUCCGUUCUCUCUUUUGCCUUUAUUUUUCUUUUCUCUUUCCAUGUAUGUAGUUUUUCCUUUCAAAUUGUCAAGAUCUGAUCAUAUAUAAAAAGUACAUAAACCUUUAUCAAAAGAGAACAAGUAGAAAAAAAACACACAAGAAACUCAAGAUAUCUACAACAACAAUAGACCUUAUCUCUAUCUCGUGAGGGCAAAAUAUGUACGAACCUUAUCUGUAUCUCUUGAAGGUAGAUAAGUUAUUUCCAAAAGAAACUAGGCUCAAAACAGAUUUUAAGAAAAUGUAGUUAGGAUGGCAACAAAGCUUGGACAAGUUACAACAUGACUUCACAAGUCAAGCUAGUACUGCCCAGUGUACCAAAGGAAUUUAAUUUCUUCUCCCCAUUAGUUGACCUGUAAAAUUCCUCUUUUGUCAUUUGCAUUACCCAAUAAUUGAGUAAUCUAUGAUUUGCUUAUUUUAUUUUAUUUUUUAACACAAUAGGGUGUAAAUCACUAAAAAUAAAAAGUGAGUGUUGUUUUUUUUCUUUCCAAACAUUACUAAAACUGGCAAUUUUAGAGUCCCAUAGGGGAAUUAUGCUUCCUCCACUAUUGAAAGAGUUCCACAUAUUAACUUGAUGUUGUUAACAGCUUGUACAUUGAGGCCGGUCUAAGCUAAUUAAUGGGUUGUAAAAAGUGAUUCUUGUUCUUGCUCUAUUCGUUCUUUCUUGUUAAAUUUUGACUUGAAAUAUUUAUUAAGAAAAAUAAUUAUUGACGUAGCUAUUUUACCAUGAUAUUCCCUAUUAAAUGAUGUUUCAUAUUAUGUCUUGAAAUUAAUUUGAAAAAAAUGCAACUAAUGCAAAGGGUAUAAUAGAAAAAAAAAUUGUUUUUUCUUAAUUUCUCAAAAAUGAAAAAUAAAAAUAAAAUAAAAUUAAAAAUAGUAACAAAUAGAAACGAACGGCAUCGCUCACUUAAGUGUCAUUCAUUUUCGGGGCUUGUUGAUUCGGCAGGUGAGUUGUUAUAUACUCCUAGCAGAUUUCGACUUCCAUGAUCACCGACAUGCUGUCUUAAUCAACCAACACCCUUUGUGGGAUCUAGGUCAGCGUGCAGUUUGGCACCGUAACCCGACUUUCAAUUCAUCCUGCAUUACCAGUUCUGCUUACCAAAAAUGGCCCACUUGGAUGUGUUGUACUUCCUCCAAAAUAGUUGACCUUCUUUCUAAAAUUACUUGUUUCAGUUUAGUUAUUUCAUUUAUAAAAUUAAAAGAAUUUUAUUACGUUCUUUUAAUACUACUCUUAUUACAUUAGUUUAGUAUAUACAUAGGGUAUGGGUAAAUUUAUACCGUCCCUAAGUAGUAGUAGUAUAAUUUAUUUUUUUUUAAACAAAAAAAUUCAACAUGACCUUGUGGUUUCAAACCAAGACUUGAAAAAAAGUGAAGGACCAAGUUGCUGGAAAGAAUUGAAGGAAAGGUAUCUUUUAAGUCUUAAAUGAAGGAUUGGUGACAUUGACCAACUUAAAGGAUCAAACAUCAUUAGGAAACUUGAUUAAGUUAAUUGUGGAAUUGAUUAAUAUUUUCAACACUUUCUAAUCUUUUCAAAAAUACAAAUCAACCGAACCCACACCCCUCUUCAAUCCAAAUCAACCAGUCUCUCUCUCGACAGCUUCUUUCAACUCUCGCCCAACCAACAGUUCUGCAAAAUUUCUCCUAUCAAUCCUCAGCAACUUCAACAUUCGACGACAAAUAGUUGGGCUUCGAGUUCCUUUUCGUCUUCAACCUUUAAUUGACUUGACAACCUUUCUCUCUGGCCACAACAGCUUUGAAGUCUUUGUUUCAAUCGACGUGACAGCCUUGCUCUCCGAUCACAAUAGCUUCGAAUUCAUCAUCGCUCCUUUUCUUCUUUCGCAGGUAAAAAUUUAUGGCCUUUUUAGUUUUGAGGAAAACGAGGAACUUGAGCCAACUUCUCUUAUAGUAUUGAUUAACAAUUUUAAUAUUUGUUGUAUUAAUUUGAAAUGCGGUCUAAACAAAACCCUAAUUUCUGGUAUUUCUUCUCUUAUUUUUUCAAAGUAAAUUAUGUUUUUUUGUUGUUUGUUGCAUUGUUUUGAAGUUUGAUUUUUAUUGUUUGUGUUUGUAAAAGCAAAACAACAAUUUGGGUUGAUUUGUUCUGUUCUUGUUCUUGGUAAAAAUGGUGAUAUUGCUGUUUUUUUGUUGAACAAAAUCGUGCUACUAUUUUUUAUUUUCUCCAACAGAUUAUCCAUCUGGUGCAACAUAUUAACCAUCUGAGGCAACAAAUUUAUCAUAUGAUGCAACAGCUCAAUCAUCUGAUACAUUAAAGGAACCAUCAGAUUACAUCUCUAAUGCAAUAGAUUAAUCAUCUGAUGCAAUAGAUUAAUCAUCUGAUGCAAUAGAUUAAUCAUCUGAUGCAACAGAUUAACCAUCUGAUGCAACAGAUUAAGCAUCGGAUAAAAAAUCUGAUGCAACUAAUUAACCAUCUGAUGCAACGAAAGAACCUCCUGUUGGAUAAAAGCCUAUCAACUCUUCCAACAGGAAAUAUCCAAGACUUGAUUUUUCCAACUGAUCAUUCAUCUACCGCGAUAGAUGACCCUAUGUUGGAAGAAAUCUAAACAAUAUUGACCGUUGAUAACUAUUCCAACAGAUCACUUAUAUGUUGCAAUAUAUGUGUGACUUAUUGCACAGACCAUUCAUCUUUCUCAAUAGAUAAGUGAUAUAUUUUAUAUUUUCGCAACAGAUUACUCAGCCGUUGUUAUAGGUAGGUCAGUUAACUGUCUCGAUAGAUCAUAUAUUUCAACAGAUGUGUGGUCUGGUGUACAAACCAUUCAUCUUUCUCAACAGAUAAGUGAUAUAUUUUUUUUGUCGCAAUAGAUUACUCAGCCAUUGCUACAAGUUAUUCAACUGUUCUAACAGAUCACUCAUAUGUUGCAACAGAUGUAUGAUCUACUGCACAGACCAUUCAUUUGUCUUAAAAGAUGAGUGAUAUGUUUUGUAUUAUUGCAACAAAUUACUCAUAUGAGAGGAAGUGUAGAUCACCCAUAGGUUGGUUCGAGGUGGGUGAAGCGGCUGUGAGUGGUCCUGAUUCGGUAUUUGAGGCUAUGGAAAAAGUUAAGUUGAGUAGGGAAAAGUUGAAAACUACACAGAGUCGUCAGAAGUCAUAUGCGGAUGUUAGAAGGAGAGACCUUGAGUUUGAAGUUGGUGACCUAGUGUAUCUGAAAAUUUCACCCAUGAGGGGGAUGAAGAGAUUCAGAAAGAAGGGAAAUCUUAGUCCCCGUUAUGUUGGUCCUUACAAAAUUCUUAACCGUGUCGGUAAGGUAGCUUAUGAGGUCGAGUUGCCUUCUGAGUUGUCCUCUGUUCAUCCAAUAUUCCAUUUCUGCAUGCUUAGAAAGCAUAUUAGCGAUGCUGUGGUAGUGGAUUCCUCUGUGAGUGCUGACAUUCAAGAAAAUCUUUCUUUUGAUGAGAUUCCUGUUGAAAUUCUUGAUUUCAGUGUCCUAAGACUAAGGAACAAAGAAGUUCCCUUGGUCAAGGUAUUGUGGCGAAACCAAUCUAUUGAGGGUGCAACUUGAGAAGCUAAGGCGGAUAUGUGAUCCAAGUACCCGCACCUAUUUUUCGCGAACUCCGAUCAAGCCGAAGGUACCGUUCUUUCCUAAAUCAUGCACUUUUGAUAAAAGUUGCAGCAGUUCAGCUGUCAUUUAUUAUGUGUUCAUCUGUAGUUUCUUGAAUCUAUGCAUUCUAUGUUGCAUUCGAAGUGAGAAACGAUGUGGUGAUGAGUCUAAUGAAUGGUUUCAGAUAUAUUCUCUAUUCCCUAUCUAAUCUUGGUAUGUCUAGCAUCAUUCGAGGAAGAAUGUUUCCAAGGGGGGCGGGGGGGAUGAUGUAAUACCCCGGAAAAUUUUUCGUUGAAAUUUUGUGUGUAAACGUAUUGGGUUCUAUCCUCUAGAAUGAAUUAUAAAUUUUCCGUGUGGAAUAUCUUAGAUUAAGACCCACCAUUGA
rnacentral:lncRNA from 1 species